rnacentral:rRNA from 1 species
UACAGAGGGGGCAAGCGUUGUUCGGAAUUACUGGGCGUAAAGGGCGCGUAGGCGGCCCGCUAAGUCGAACGUGAAAUCCCCGAGCUCAACUCGGGAACUGCGUCCGAUACUGGUGGGCUUGAAUCCGGGAGAGGGAUGCGGAAUUCCAGGUGUAGCGGUGAAAUGCGUAGAUAUCGAGAGGAACACCUGAGGUGAAGACGGGUUGCUGGGCCGACACUGACGCUGAGUGCGCGAAAGCCAGGGGAGCGAACAGG